AAAAAGAAUGAUGAAUGGAAGAUCUGGGAAGCUCAGGGAGUUAUUUUACCUCCUGCACUUGAUCCAUCUGCAAAGUGACACAUGGCAUCCACUUCCUCAGGAGAAGACAAACCUACAGAGAACACAGAAGUCUCACUUUCCUAUGACUAAUGUUUACGAUGCAAGAACAUUUGAUCAAAGUAGGCCUACCCAAGAGCUGGAGUAGGCGCUUACCCAUAGCUCCCACACGGCCCUACGGAAAUCACAGGUGGCUUCAGGUGAGCCCCAGACACCUGGAGCUCCUUAUGACUAGUGUGGCAGAUCUCCUUAAAAGCCAUAGCAAUUUAACGAAAUUUGUUGAAAUAUAUCAACCACCCCGUGAAAUAGACACUGCAGAGUUGUCAUGGCCCCGCAUGUGUCCCUGGUGCAGGUGUGGGUAUGUAUGUGUGAUGAUUUUGUUUGUUUUCAUGGGAUGUUUUGUUUCCAGCUGAGGGGAGGGGCAUGAAGGGGUAAACCAUCAGGAUAGUUUUCCAGCAGUCACUUGUUCUAGAAUGGGAACCUGUUCCUGUGAAAGAUUCCAAGCUUCACCUCCUAUUACCAUAAAUGGAUUAUAUAUUCUUUCUAUAGACAGAACAAUUAAAGCAAACUACAGGACUCACUGGAGUGGAGGAGAUCUGGGAACCCCGCGUAUAGCAUGGGAACUGAGCAAGCCAGCUUUUCACAGUGAUUGAUGCUGCAUGUUUAACAGUGCCAAGGAGGGCUGGGCCCAGUCUCCUCCUGAAUUCAUUAGCUGUGUUUGUUUUAUACAUGGACUACCUGUGUCUUUUUGGCAGGGGAUCAUAAAGCCAAGUGACAGCAACUGCUCUGCCCAGCCAUUGCUUCUGCAGCCAAAGUCAGAGGCGAUUCUGCCAGCAGCAUAACUGCUGGAGUCCCAAACCUUCCUAACAGGCCAGCAGCCCAACAAGAACCCACACUGAACACCCAGCGGCACCCAUGCCACCACAGACCAGUGCGUCCCACCCCACUGGAGAAAUCCAAUUUUGUAAAUACAAGUAGCCCACCAAAAGAAAAAGUUAGGGAGAAAGCUAUUUCUCUUUUUUAAAAAAAGAAAACUGGGUACCUGUUUUGCUUAAAUUUGACUGCAUGCCACACCUGCACAGAUGAGCCUGCGCAGGCCUGCUGCAGAGCAGUGACAAGGUGGCACAGGCUGGAGGAGGGGCCGCCCCACCCCAGCUCACAGGGCUUGCCCCACACACACGCAAUCCUGGCCCCAGAUUACAUCUGCAAUGGGACUGACCAGGUCUGAGGCAAAGUCUCUGCUCCAGAGACAGGGCUCCCCUUUCUAUCUCCUCCAGCAGAUCAUUAUUGGAGUUCAUCCACUUUGAACACUAUCUAUUCAUCACCCUACACUUCCUGCACACCGAGCACCUGAGGCAUUUUUACUCCCAACACUCACGACCAUCCUAAUUCAUAAUCAAGUAGCAAAUGUCUUACAAGGAAGCAGAACAGAAAGAAGUGGGUACUGAAAGAACUACUUUGUGUUCAUUUCACCUGAAUAAUUAGACAACCUCCUAGCAAAUCUUAAAGUAGUCCAGAGACUCAAAGAUUUAAUAUAUGGCGUAUCCUUUUCCUAUCUACAUUCAUUCACUGAGUAAUUACUCAGUAAUCACUCUGUGCCAACACCCAGUCAAAAUUCUACACUUUUCUUUUUUGAGACAGGACCUCACUCUGUAGUCCAGGCUGGAGUGCAUCAUAGCUUGAUCACAGCUCACUGCAGCCUCAGCCUCCUGGGCUCAAGCCAUCCUCCUGUCUCAGCCUCACCAGUAGUUGAGAUGACAGGUGCAUGCCAGCACACCCAGCUAAUUUUUUAAUUUUUUUGUAGAGAUGAUGUCUCAUUAUGUUGCCCAGGUGAGAUAUUUUUUGUAUUGGCCUCAUGAUUAAUUUUACCUGUGUUAAGUGGCUUAAAUCUGAAUUACACAUUAUCAUGAUGAUAGACGAUAAUAAUUUUAGAUACAUUACCAAAUAUAUAUAUAUGAUAUUUUACAAGAACUUAGAGGAGUCAGUCCUUACACUCAUGGAAUUUGCAGUCUAUGUUUAAUAUAAUUCUAUGUUCACUGAAUAUAGAAUCAAUAUAUAACCCCUGAUAUGUACUAUUGGUAAUUGGGUCAAUGAUUUGUCUCAUUAUUGCAUUAUUGUCAAUGUAUAAUCCCCAAUAUUACCAUUAGUAAUUAGGUCAAUGAGUUGUCUCAUUAUUGCAGUUUUGUCAAUAUUAAUCCUCAAUAUGAACUAUUAGUAAUUAGGUCAAUGAGUUGUCUUAUUAUUGCAAUAUGUAUACUUAUGUUGAUACAGUAAGAGUCACCAGAAGCAAUAUGAGUUUCUAAGGUAAUUCCAUGAAAAAAUGCACACAACAUAUCUUGUUGGGAGCCAUUGUGACUAUUUCGGCAAAAAAAAGUUACAAUUUUUUAAAAGUUUUUUCUCAUUUUAAUUGUUGAGCCAUUCAGCAAACUCAGCUCAGUAAUCACAGCAUCAGUGGAAAAUAUAUAUUUGUCAAAGAACAAUAGCAUGCUGGAACUAGCUCAUAAUGGCUUACAAAAAAAAUCUAUUAAACCAUCAGGAAUUCUGUGAGCUUUUUGUUAAACUCUGCCAUUAUUAAAUGUCAAAUUAUAUAGAACUAUAACUGAAUGACUUAUAUUAAAUGCAAAGUUAGUAAGAACUCAAAAAUCACUACUUUGUCCAUAUUUUACUCCACUUUAG
rnacentral:lncRNA from 1 species